rnacentral:misc_RNA from 1 species
GAUGAAGAACGUAGCGAAAUGCGAUAAGUAAUGUGAAUUGCAGAACUCAGUGAAUCAUCGAAUCUUUGAACGCACAUUGCGCCCGCCAGUAUUCUGGCGGGCAUGCCUGUUCGAGCGUCAUUACAACCCUCAGGCCCCCGGGCCUGGCGUUGGGGAUCGGCGGAAGCCCCCUGCGGGCACAACGCCGUCCCCCAAAUACAGUGGCGGUCCCGCCGCAGCUUCCAUUGCGUAGUAGCUAACACCUCGCAACUGGAGAGCGGCGCGGCCACGCCGUAAAACACCCAACUUCUGAAUGUUGACCUCGAAUCAGGUAGGAAUACCCGCUGAACUUAAGCAUAUCAAUAAGCGGAGGA